rnacentral:rRNA from 1 species
GACGAACGCUGGCGGCGGGCUUAACACAUGCCAGUCGAACGGAAAGGCCUCUUUCGGGGGGUACUCGAUUGGCGAACGGGUGAGUAACGCGUGAGUAAGCUUCCCUUGACUUUGGGAUAACUUCAGGAAACUGGGGCUAAUACCGGAUAGUAGCUCCUGCUGCAUGGUGGGGGCUGGAAAGUUUGGGCGGUUGGGGAUGGACUCGGGGCUUGUCAGCUUGUUGGUGGGGUGGUGGCUUAACAAGGCUUUGACGGGUAGACGGCCCGAGAGGGUGACCGGAGACACUGGGCAUAAGACAACGGCCGGAAGCCUUCGGGAGGAAGCAGUAGGGAAUAUUGCACUAUAGGUGGCAGCCUGAUGCAACAACGCCGUGUGCGGGAUGACGGACCUGCGGUUGUAAACCGCGUUCGCUCAUGACGAAGCUUUGUGUGACGGUAGUGUGUAAAGAAGCACCGGCUAACUACGUG